AUUUCAGUAACGCCAAAUAUUAAUGUUACUUGUCCCAAUACCACUACAUUGACUAAAGGUGAUAACUUUACAUGUGUAUGCAGAGGAGAAGGUGGCAACCCUCCUGCAAACGUUACCUGGUAUAAAGAUGGCAAACAAAUUGUCACAGGAAUCGUAAUAGCAAUUUUGCCUCUCAUUGAUGUUGAUGAAGACGACGCCGGGACAUACAUAUGUGAAGCCAGAAGCCACGUGAAGGCAAAGAAAGAAAUGAUCAUUAAAAUAAUUGUAAACU